UAGGGAAUCUUCGGCAAUGGGGGGAACCCUGACCGAGCAACGCCGCGUGAGUGAAGAAGGUUUUCGGAUCGUAAAGCUCUGUUGUUAAGGAAGAACGAGUGUGAGAAUGGAAAGUUCAUACUGUGACGGUACUUAACCAGAAAGGGACGGCUAACUACGUGCCAGCAGCCGCGGUAAUACGUAGGUCCCGAGCGUUGUCCGGAUUUAUUGGGCGUAAAGCGAGCGCAGGCGGUUAGAUAAGUCUGAAGUUAAAGGCAGUGGCUCAACCAUUGUAGGCUUUGGAAACUGUGUAACUUGAGUGCAGAAGGGGAGAGUGGAAUUCCUUGUGUAGCGGUGAAAUGCGUAGAUAUAUGGAGGAACACCGGUGGCGAAAGCGGCUCUCUGGUCUGUAACUGACGCUGAGGCUCGAAAGCGUGGGGAGCGAACAGG
rnacentral:rRNA from 1 species